UACGUAGGGCGCAAGCGUUGUCCGGAAUUACUGGGCGUAAAGGGCUCGUAGGCGGCCAACUAAGUCAGACGUGAAAUCCCUCAGCUUAACUGGGGAACUGCGUCUGAUACUGGAUGGCUUGGAUUCGGGAGAGGAAUGCGGAAUUCCAGGUGUAGCGGUGAAAUGCGUAGAGAUGUGGAGGAACACCAGUGGCGAAGGCGGCUUUCUGGUCUGUAACUGACGCUGAGGCGCGAAAGCGUGGGGAGCAAACAGG
rnacentral:rRNA from 1 species